rnacentral:tRNA from 1 species
UGGACGUAUAGCUCAGUUGGUUAGAGCGCCACGUUGACAUCGUGGAGGUCACUGGUUCGAGUCCAGUUACGUCCAUCC